UACGAAGGGGGCUAGCGUUGCUCGGAAUCACUGGGCGUAAAGCGCACGUAGGCGGACUCUUAAGUCGGUGGUGAAAUCCUGGAGCUCAACUCCAGAACUGCCUUCGAUACUGAGAGUCUCGAGUCCGGGAGAGGUGAGUGGAACUGCCGAGUGUAGAGGUGAAAUUCGUAGAUAUUCGCAAGAACACCAGUGGCGAAGGCGGCUCACUGGCCCGGUACUGACGC
rnacentral:rRNA from 1 species